GUGUAUGGUGUGGUUUAAGUGUGAUAGACUGCAGGGAUUGCAGAGAUUGAAUUUAGAAUUAAAUUCAGUUUACCCCCAUGAAGUUUGGGAGUAACUUCAUGUUAAUCCCUAUACUUUCAAUUUCAUCAGUUUACCCCUCAAACUUUUGAAUUUUCCUCAAGCGUGACCAAAUGUUCUAUAUUCUAUCCAAAUCGGACGUUAACUGCUGAUAAUUUUAACCUUAACUGUGAGGCCAGUAUCUAGAAUUUGGGCAAAUCGGACCUUAUAUGUCCAAAUCGUACCUUAACUGCUGAUAAUUAAAGGUCAAUUCAAACGGAAUAUGAGAAUUUGGGCACGGUAGACAGAAAUUGAAGAGUUCAAGGGGUAAACUGAUGAAAAUAAAAGUGUAGGGACUAACAUGAAGUCACCCCCAAACCACAAGGGGGUAAACUGAAUUUAAUUCUU
rnacentral:lncRNA from 1 species